rnacentral:lncRNA from 1 species
AGGAGAUCGAGACCAUCCUGGCUAACAAGGUGAAACCCCGUCUCUACUAAAAAUACAAAAAAUUAGCCGGGCGUGGUGGCGGGCGCCUGUAGUCCUAGCUACUCGGGAGGCUGAGGUAAGAUGGCGUGAACCCGGGAGGUGGAGCUUGCAGUGAGCCGAGAUCCCGCCACUGCACUCCAGCCUGGGCGACAGAGCGAGAC